rnacentral:rRNA from 1 species
CACGUAGGGUGCGAGCGUUGUCCGGAAUUAUUGGGCGUAAAGAGCUCGUAGGCGGUGUGUCGCGUCGGCCGUGAAAACCUGCAGCUUAACUGUGGGCUUGCGGUCGAUACGGGCAUCACUGGAGUUCGGCAGGGGAGACUGGAAUUCCUGGUGUAGCGGUGAAAUGCGCAGAUAUCAGGAGGAACACCGGUGGCGAAGGCGGGUCUCUGGGCCGAUACUGACGCUGAGGAGCGAAAGCGUGGGGAGCAACCAGG